AAGUUACUCCACCUCUUCCCAUCUUCCCUCUCGGCAAAAAGACCAAGCGGGAAAGUCAUGUCGCAUCCCACCCAUUUCCCGGCCACUGAAGAGUCUGUUUUUCCGGCAGCAGAAUCGUAUGAUUGUCCCUGUUGUCCUUUCCGGACGCCAUUUACUCAUAAAAUUCUUUACCAUCUCAGAAAUCACUUGGAUGGAGCAGUCCACCAUGGAGAAUACCGUAUCUGCAAAUGCAGCCUCAAAUGCAGAGCCGUUUCUCAUUUCCACUGCCUCAACUGUGACAAAACCAUCAUAAGGAGAAGUCAAUUAAUUGCUCACUUAAAGACCUGUACUGUACAAUCAAUGUCUGUUCCCAAGAGCCCAGAAACAGCCCUUGUUGCUCAGAGCCCUGUAACAGCCCUUGUUGCUCAGAGCCCCGUAACAGCCCCCGUUGCUCAGAGCCCCGUAACAGCCCUUGUUGCACAGAGCUUUGUAACAGCCCCCGUUGCUCAGAGCCCCGUAUUAGCCCCCGUUGCUCAGAGCCCCGUAACAGCCCCCAUUGCUCAGAGCUUUGUAACA